GACGUAGGGUGCAAGCGUUGUCCGGAAUUAUUGGGCGUAAAGAGCUCGUAGGCGGUUUGUCGCGUCGAAUGUGAAAACCCGGGGCUCAACCCCGGGCCUGCAUUCGAUACGGGCAGACUAGAGUUCGGUAGGGGAGUCUGGAAUUCCUGGUGUAGCGGUGAAAUGCGCAGAUAUCAGGAGGAACACCGAUGGCGAAGGCAGGUCUCUGGGCAUUAACUGACGCUGAGGAGCGAAAGCAUGGGGAGCGAACAGG
rnacentral:rRNA from 1 species